AGAGUUUGAUCCUGGCUCAGGACGAACGCUGGCGGCGCGCCUAACACAUGCAAGUCGAGCGAGAACCAGGGGCUUGCCCCUGGGGACAGCGGCGAACGGGUGCGUAACACGUGAGCAACCUGCCCCAAAGACCGGGACAACCCGAGGAAACUCGGACUAAUACCGGAUGCCCUCACCGGGUCGCAUGGUCUGGUGAGGAAAUGGAUUCCGCUUUGGGAUGGGCUCGCGGUCUAUCAGCUUGUUGGUGGGGUAACGGCCUACCAAGGCGACGACGGAUAGCUGGUCUGAGAGGACGAUCAGCCACACUGGGACUGAGACACGGCCCAGACUCCUACGGGAGGCAGCAGUGGGGAAUCUUGCGCAAUGGGGGAAACCCUGACGCAGCGACGCCGCGUGCGGGAUGAAGGCCUUCGGGUUGUAAACCGCUUUCAGCAGGGACGAAAUUGACGGUACCUGCAGAAGAAGGCCCGGCCAACUACGUGCCAGCAGCCGCGGUA
rnacentral:rRNA from 1 species